rnacentral:tRNA from 1 species
GGUGUAGCGCAGUUUGGUAGCGCAUCUGCUUUGGGAGCAGAGGGUCGCAGGUUCAAAUCCUGUCACC